rnacentral:lncRNA from 1 species
AGGAAACGAGUGCACCAAAGAGCUUCCCUCCCCAAGCACCCAACCAGAGCUAUAAAUACAAACCUUACCGCAUCAAACGCAGCAACUUGUUACAGCCUAACCACAUAAAAUCUCCGUCGAUCCACCACACCCUGCAAUGGCGUCCGCGCUCACCAACGUGAGCCUGUCUACCUUCGCGCCCACGGCCAGGGGCGACGUCCUCGCCAGGCCUCAGGUGGCCGCCGCCCGCGUCACCUUCCCGACGGCGUACCGUGGCAGCGGUGCCCUCUCCUGCAGGGCGGGUGGGCCGGCCACGCCGCCGGGCAUCUCCGACAAGAUGUCGGACAGCAUCAA